rnacentral:lncRNA from 1 species
ACUGUGAAGUCACAAGAGGCCCUGAGCUCUGUGGGCCCCAGGUGCCCCGGGAAAACUUGGGGGAGAAUGGGCAUCCCACCCCAGCACUUUCUAGGAAGAAGGGCAGCAUUUUGAAGGGCUGGAAGUAGAGGAAGGAGGUUGCGGGUAGAAGACUCCAUACUUUCUGUGACGCCUAUUCCUUAGCUUGUGAUGAAUGUUUUCUCAGUAUCCUAUGCUGAAAACAGGUAGAUACUAAUAUCGAUCUUCAAGGGAGGGCUGUUGAGUAUUGAAUAAGACAAAAACAUGGAAGCAAUCAGCACCAUGCUGGAAUCAAGGCUAUCUGUAAUCACAGGGCUAUUUGAAAAAGAGAAGAAAAGGUGUCUUGAAAUUCAACCAACAUGUUUCAAUUAUUUGCUCCUAAGAACAACAGAAGUUUCAACAUUCUGCCAACAGAGUAACUCCUGGAAGAUUGGCACAGAAGAAGGCACAAGGAGAGCCUUUAUAUAACCAAAGAUAUUUUUGGACCAUGAAUUCAGAAAUUCUCGGAGCCACCCAUCAGUGCCUGAGCUUCAGUGAGUCCAUAUCCCAUGUCACCCACGGCAAAGGAGACUCUAAGACUUCUGAAGAGUUUCUUGCUUCUUUCCUGUGGGGCAGUGACUCCACUUCCCAGCAGUAAUGGAAUAUCCUGAAUUAGCUACAUUAAUGUUAGAACCAUUUGGACCUCACCCAGGACUUCAACUACAUUAUGAGUAACUCCUGGACGAUUGGCACAGAAGAAGGCACAAGGCAAAUACCCAUCUCUGUACACCCUGUGCUACUGUGUCAUGUGCUGCUCCAGGCAACUCCAAUGGAUUGGCCACCCUGGCCAAUGUGUGAGUUAUAAAGCAAUGAUGUGUAGCUAUUGAACCUACAAUUUGGUUAAAGUUAAACUCUCAAGUUUUAUAUGUUUACAAGCAUAUUGUCCUUUUGUUAAUUUCCUCCCAGUACUCAUUUCUUGACUUCUUUUAGUUUUACUAUGUAGUAAUUUUUAAAAUGUUAGUCAAAGUUAGUUAAUUUAAUUCACUUAGCAGAUUUUCCUGUAAUUUUGGUUAAACAGUAUCCUUUCUGUACAGGCCCUCCAAACACCAGCACUGAGUAGAAAGAGGCUCUGAUUCAUGAAAUGUGAAUUUAUGACAGUUGCCACUCUUAAAAAAAAAAACAAACAGACAGAACUUGAGCAAUACAUGACUGAUGCAUUCUCAGCCUGCUUCCUGUGUUCCAUCUGUCUUUCUGCCAGUGCAUUCACCCUCCAGGUUCUAGUAUGUUACGUUUAUGUUCCCCUGCUUUCUACAAUCCUGUUCAAAGAGUUGCUGACUUAACCACAGAGAGGAUUCCAGAACCUGAGACACAGAAUAAACUUGAGCAAUCAUAGUCCAUCCACUUCAUUGUCUCAUCAAAAACCAAAGGUCCAGUGAAGCUCUGGAACUCAACGCUGUAAAGGAGCGAAGGAGCUUCUAUACAGAGCCUGGAUGCCUGUCUCCUUAUCCUACUUCAGUGGACUUGACUGCAAUCCGGAUUAUGCUGUUUUCUAAGCAUUUAAAAUAAAAUAAAAAGUAUAAUAGUGUGAUAAGUUCUUUCACAAAGCAAGCAAUCACAUUUAUGUUUCUACUUACAUUUGGGUUUUCCAAAUAUGUGUGUGUGUGUGUGUGUGUGUGUGUGUGUGUGUAUGUAGACUUUAAACAUGGUGCAUCCAUCAUGUUGCACUAAAUCAAAACCACCAAAUAAUGAUGUAGAACUAAUAAAUCAAAACCAUCAAAUAAUGACAUAGAAAUCCAAUUCUCCCACCUUACACCCAUUAAGAUGGCUACU